UUGAAAGGGAAACGAUUGAAGUCAGUCAUACCAACGGGAAAUCAACCUUUUGAGCUUGGUUUCGUGGUUUUUGAAGAGUUUCAAAGCCUUCGGAUUCGCGAGAUUGGGAUCUCUUGGUGUACUUUUUCGUACGGUUAGUCAACAUCGGUUUUGAAUGUCAUAAAAUGACUGGAGGAAUGUAGCUUCGAUCUCGUAUUGAAGUGUUAUAGCCUUUGGUAGAUGUGAUGUUUGAGACCGAGGAUUGCAACGGAUACCCUUCAGGGCUAUUCGUCUGAUCUCUGAUACGUUGCCUUGAUGUUGAAAGCUUGCUUAUGAUGUUAGGGUAUCACGGUCAAAAGGUUAGAACGAAUUACAUUCGUUAAGGAUGUUGACGUA
rnacentral:rRNA from 1 species